rnacentral:rRNA from 1 species
AGUGAACGCUGGCGGUAGGCCUAACACAUGCAAGUCGAACGGCAGCACAGUAAGAGCUUGCCCAUACGGGUGGCGAGUGGCGGACGGGUGAGGAAUACAUCGGAGUCUACUUUUUCGUGGGGGAUAACGUAGGGAAACUUACGCUAAUACCGCAUACGACCUACGGGUGAAAGCAGGGGAUCUUCGGACCUUGCGCGAUUGAAUGAGCAGAUGUCGGAUUAGCUAGUUGGCGGGGUAAAGGCCCACCAAGGCGACGAUCCGUAGCUGGUCUGAGAGGAUGAUCAGCCACACUGGAACUGAGACACGGCCCAGACUCCUACGGGAGGCAGCAGUGGGGAAUAUUGGACAAUGGGCGCAAGCCUGGUCCAGCCAUACCGCGUGGGUGAAGAAGGCCUUCGGGUUGUAAAGCACUUUUGUUGGGGAAGAAAAGCAGCAGGCUAAUACCCCGCUGUGCUGACGGUACCUAAAGAAUAAGCACCGGCUAACUACGUG